CUGGCCUUGAACACCUCCAGGGACGGGGCAUCCAUAGCCUCUCAAUUAACCACUCUCUCUGUGAAGAACCUCCCCCUGAAAUCUAAUCUAAAUCUCCCUUCCUUCAGUUUGAAACCAUUCCCUACUGUCGUGUCACUAUCUACCCCUGUAAAAAGUUGUUUUCCCUCCUGUUUAUAAACUCCCCACCAAAGUGAAUAGUGGUUUUAUUCUUAUGUGUUAUAUAUGCUGUAUCUCAGAUUCCUGUGAUCACUUACAUAUUCAUAAUGUUAAUCUUUAUUAUAGUUACCCUUGAAGAAGGAAGCAAGAUUAAAUGCUGUUAUUUUGCAGCUACAUGAGGAGCAGUUGUUUCUAAUAUUCUUCUCUAACUCUUAAAUAAUUUUUCUCAUAUCAAAGAUUAGAAUCCUCUUCCAUUCCUAUAUAGAUAUUCUGUAGCACAUCGCACCAUGUUUUCUUCAUUAUUUAAUUGUCCUAAAACUAGUUUAUAAUAUUAAAUUGAUGAAAAAAAUAUAAGCACUUGUAUCUCAAGCCAUUACUGCACAAUAGCAAUAGAAUGAGUGCAGGUGAUAGGAGAGGACCUGCUCCAGAUUCCAAGUUUCAAUAUCAAAGAGGCAUGAAAAAUUUGUAUUUUCUGAUGGUAAUAGUAAAUCCAUUUGAAGAGAUUAAAGUAUAUAAUAUUCUAACAGUUUAUAUGUUAUUUCUAAUCUAUGUCAAGUUUAGACCUUUCUUAUCCCAUCCAGUUUACUUGACAGUCAUUUGCUCUGAUCUUACGUUCUUGACGUAAAUCUUGGUAACCUGAUGUCUGAGGACUGAAUCCACACAUUGAGUCUGAUUACAUUUGCUUCCCACGUUUCCACUGGCUGCAGUGAUGGUAGUAUCCUGCAGAAUUAUACAAAUGUAUAUUUCAACAUAAUUAAGGCACAAGGUGCUGAUGAUUAUACAUACAGAAAAUGUCUUAAGGGUAUGCAUUUCUCUCAUUGUCUGUAGGGAAAUAACAUUGGAUUACACUCAGGAAGUCGCAAUCAUUCCAUGUCUUUUCAGAUUUUAUUUGAUCUUACAUGAGCACUGUCGUAUUCAUACAACUGUUACUUGUUUGUGGCUAUUAGUGUUAGUGAGAAUGCAAAGCAACAUAAAUUUAGUAUCAUUUUACUGAGAUACGUAGCGAAUGGUUAGCAGCACCAGUGCACGACAGACACAUUGCAUAUACAUUGUGAGGAAAAGAAGAGAGGCUGCUGCGUGGAGCCCAUUACACAAUUCACAACGAAUGUGCCAACUAAGCAGGCAGAUAGCCCUCAAAAAUUGCGUCUUGUUGGCACUUUAUCUUUUGCUCCUGGUUAGCUGUUGACCCAGCAUGCUGUUGACAUCAUUAGUUAUUGGUGCAUGCACAUCUGCAUUACGGAUGCUUUUUCAUACUCAGAAUGAUGUACUGAAAUAAGUAACCAGUCUCAAAACAUAACAGAACUUCUCUUGCAUUUUCUGAAGCUGGCUUUUCCUGGAUUACCUUAUGGAAUGAAAUUAGAAACCCAAGGCAUUGCCAUGCUGUAGGUCUGAGAUGCUGUCCUGUCCUAACAGAGUCAGGCAGUGCUUUGCUUCAUUAAUUUCAAUGGUAAAUCUUUUUCUAAUGGACAAUGUGAUCAGUCAGUUCUGCCUUAAGAGAGGAGCAGGAAAUGUUUUCAGGUUUCUUCUACAUCGCCUGAGUUCUAUAGUUACCUCUAUGAGUUGUCAUGCAUUUUCUUAUUCUAGGUGGCAGUGACUGGUUCCCAGUGUUUCUCUGUCCUGCUUUGCUUUUCUGAUGUCAAUGUGAGCGGAUGCUCUACUAGGAAGUACCUUCUAAGCAGCAUUUAGACAAGUUCCUCUUUUGAUUUCUAAUUGCAUCUCUAAGGGAGGAAUCAGUUCUAAAUGUGGUUUUAGAGUCAAAGAGUAUGACAUCUGUAGCCUUCAGCUGGGCCUCAGAUGUCACGUUUCCUAUUUCACAGGAAUUUAUAUGCUUGUAUUGUACAGUUUUUUCCCCAGCGUAUGUAGGUCUUUAUUACGAUUUCCUUAGCAAAUGGAAGAAUUUUCAGGUAUAGCAAAGAUGCAGUUACAUUUGUGACAACCUGAGCAGAUAAAUUUUAACUUUCUUGUAAUGCAUGAGCCAAAAAUGAGUUUCUCACAAUUGUAGAAAUUUCGAAGAACAGGGAUUCAAUUAAUGUGGGAAAAGAGCUGCUGUACAUCUCUAGUUUCUUCAAUAGCCCAUUUCUCUGGCCAGGCUCACCUUUGUCACUUGUCACCACUACUCCACUCGGUGUUUAUAAUUGGUUCCUAAACUGGAAGCACACUCAUCUUGAGUCUGAGCUAGGUAAUUGGGAGAAUGUAUUGUCCCCACUUCAAGGCCUGCGCUGUCCAUUUCUCAACAGGGAAAUGGAUAUUUUUGAUGAUUCUCCUGUAGCAGCAGUAUGGCAGCCUCCCACAGCCUUCUCAUGCUGCUUCCUUCAUUAUGGUGAGGGGUUGUUGUGUUCUGGGUACCAGGUUCUGCAUUCACCCACGCUGUGUCACGGAGACCCAGGUAACCCAGCCCGAAUGGCAGCCCCGGCCUCAACACCCCUACAUAACCCCUACACAGCACUUUGGGCUUCCAGAGUUACAAAGUUAUUACUACAGGGAUGCACUUCUCACACACACAGGCAAGUUCAGCAUGAUUGCGUAAGUUGAUUUUUCCUUAGAAAAGCCAUCUGAGCAAUCAAUUUUACUUUAUGCUUUGGUUUGCUUUCUGUGCAAUAGUGUGGCAUUUCAGCCAUAUGCAGCUAAUGCUGAUAUCUGACUUUCUUUUCUACUCUGAGAAAAUUUUCCAUGGGAAGGAGCUGCUCUUGUACUUCUGCAGCUCUCCAAUCUGCCUCAACUUGAACUUGAAUAAUUCCUGUAGCUGACUGGAAAGUCCACUGAAAGCUUCAAGAUAGCAGCUUACUUUCUCUAAGCGGUUUGGUGGAUGAUUUGUCCUCUAAAUGAUUUAGUACCUGUCUUUCCAGAAGGGAUGAAUUUAGAUUGUGUGUUCUAUAAUUCAGUGAAUUCUUAGUGCUCGGGUGAACACAUAAAGAAAUUAUUCACCCAGUAUUAUAGCAAAUCUGUCACUUGUAAAUUUUUUUCCUUUCAUCAACGGUUCUGUGUUCAAUAAUAUCUGGACUAGGGCACUGAGAACUAGAAGGCAGUGGGAACAGGAAGAGCAGAACCGUGUUUAAGUGUGUGGUUAUGCUGGAGCAUUUAAAGCUUACUGGAUAGGGGGAAAAAAAAGAAAUGCUCUGAGGUUUUUAUUUUCUUUUAGAAUAACUGCUGUUUUCAAUGAAGUGUUGGUUCAGCAUUGCAGAAAAUGUUGUGGUUCUUUUCCUCUGAAAAUAUGUUGAACGUAUCUUUGCUACAAACAAACGUGCAUUUACUGUGUCACCCUAGGAGGCGUGGUACUCCAUUUCUUUAUGUAAAUGUUUGUUUACUGGCUUAAUAGCCGCCAUCACCUUAAAAAGGAGUGUUCCCAGGCAACUAUUGUGCCUGCUUGUAGCAAUAUGGGAAGUCUCUACUACAGUUUUUAGUCAGACUUUUCAGUGAAAAAACACUCUGUGAGGUGGGCCCACACAAUGCUUGUGCAUGUCUGUAGUCUCUAUCUCUUUAUGACUCAGAGACCUUGUUCUCCAAACGGGUGAUUCACUGGGAAUUUAAUGUGUCUGUCAUUCAAAGACAAAUAAUCAACUUCGUCAGAAUCUGAUCUAAGCAGUUCUGCAGAAGGUACUUCAGGCAAACUGAGAAGAGACCACAGAAAACUCACUUCUACUGUUUAUAACUGUUUUUACAACAGUAGGGCAUUGAAAAUGAGCUAUAGUCCCUUCCAGAGCAGCAUUAUUUUGGGGAAAGUAUUUUAUCCUCUCUUGGAAAGUGUUACAACCCCAAAAACAUGUCUUGAUUAAAUUUCAAUAACAGAAGAAUUACAGUUCUGUUUAAAAAACAAAAUGCAAUUAGAAAAAUGGUUUUUGUGUUGCUAGUAUAUGGCAGCUCUUCUGUGAAUAGGAAGAAGUUUGUAAUCAUUCAUAAGUCUUUGAAGUGCUAUUAUUAUUUAUUUUUUUAAAGAGAUUAAAUUUUGUCUGCUGCCAAGGUCUUCUGAAAGUCUUUUCUUUUUUUCUUGUACACUGCAGAGUUGGUUAGGCAAUUUAGUCGUACCCAUUGUAUGUAAGAGAUAUUGGAAACUAACAUACUCAGUUCCAGUGACUUAAUCAGACAAGAUUUACAUAAGAUUAACAAUUAAAAACUUCAAAUGACCUCUCCACUGCUGUAUCUGCCAAGAUUUGAAUCACAGUUGCCUCAGGUUAAUGUUUUACAAGAACAAUUGAAUAGGUUUACAUUGAUGCCAAGUUAAAUUCUUAAAAGGUAGAAUCAAAUGAGUGUUGGAUGGAUGCAUGCGUGAGCUGUAAGUGAGGACCUUUUAAGGCAUGUCUGCACAGUAAUCAUUGAAUUGAUCUUGGUGCUCAGUCAGUAGAGCCAGUUGUCUGGGGUAAGUGUGCCAUGUAAGUCUGGUGAGUAAGACGUGGGGCUUGGGAAGCUGGAUCAUGGAGUUGCUGCGUGAUCUCAAGCAAGUUGUUUAUAGUCAUCAUGUUUACUGUACCAGAUGCUCAGCAAACUGCCUGGGUUCAUUCUGGGAACUAACACUGUGUUGCAAAACAGACACAGUUCCCAGAUAGAAAAGCAAUUUAACUUAAUCUUCUCAUUCCUCAUACAUGAAAUGUAGCUUCUUGAUUUUCUCCUCUCCUUUGGUAAAGGGUUGAGUAUUUUCGCUAAAAUUGCUUACUGCAGUGAAAAUCACAACAGCAGUUUAAAAGCUGAGAAUUCUAGGGUUCAGGUUUAUCACAUUCUACAGUUCCCAGGUGCCCCAGGUUGAUGGAAUAAUAUGUGCUGUACUGUGGUGUGGUUUAUGUGUACUCAUAAUAUAUAGAAUUAGUCAUCACAAAUCAACUAUUUUUCACUGAAUUAUAGUCAGGCAUUAAGGUGCCUUCAUUCCAGAGGGGUUUUAAUCUUGUGCGAUCCCAUAAGGAGAGAAAACAUGAGGAUGAUGCACUGCAGUCUGUAUUUAUUUUUUUUAAUGCAAAGUGGCAUUAUAUUCCCUAAGUACAAUGCAUUUCCUAUGGUGCUCUGCUGAAGGAAACUUUGUGGUAACUAAGGUCAUGACAUGUUAAAGCUAUACAGAGAUCUAAUGGUAGUAUCAGGAGAAUGAAGUCUGAUGUUUACAAAUUCUAGUUCUCAGACCCUCUGUAAUUCUUGGGCUUCGUGUUGGUAGUCCAUAAAAAAUCAGUCACUUGCAGAAGGGAGAGUAGUCACCUUCACUGUCUAGGAACAGAACUGAGAACCUCUGGCUCUGACAGACUUUUCCAGGCAAUGCUUUUUGGUGUUUUUGGCAUGAGCAUCUGCCAAGUCUCCUGAUUUUACACUCAGCUCUACCAGAAUUUGCAGAGACAGAUGCUGUCCAAGUUCAGAAAAUCUUGGAGCAAAUCUGCAGCUCUGUUGGCUUCAGCAUCUGUCUUUCAGAUUGCUGAGAGUUGUGCAGGGGUUCAAACAUGCCAAGAUGUUGAAAUGCUGAAUCACGUCUCUGUCCCCCCAGCUGCCUCUCCGUGGCAUAAGAGGCAUAUAGUUUUCUGAGGCAUAUUGCCACCACCGUCCAGAUCUUGGAAUAGUUGUUACGGAGUCCUUAUUGCUCACUCCACAGAGUAAGAGAUGCAUAGUACAGCUCUAGGGGGGAAUUGUGCAGAAGUGACUCUGUGGUACCCCACCCAGUGACAGCUGCACACUCUGCUGCUCUGUGAAAAGGUUGGGUGCCCUUUACAUUGCUGCAGCCCAGGCUUAGCUGCUAAAAUCUUCAGAAAUCCAGUGCAGCAGAAAAGAGCUGGCCAAGUGCAAGGAUCCAUACAUCCUCAUCCAAGGGGAUGUGGCAGAUGCCACAUGGUGACAGUGUUACUGGAAAUUUGCUUUUCAGUGUAGAAACAUUGCAAUGACAUUAGCCUUAGAGCCUUGUAGCAUUGCUGGGCUAGUUCAAAGCACUGUGCAAGCCAGAAUCCAGGCCAGUCCUUUUUAAGUAGCACAUAGGGUUGGAAGAGAAGAGGGAAUAUUCUGGCUUUCCAUAUCUGGGCCGUGGCCUGAGUAUAUCUCAUUGUUGGCACAUUCGCUGCUGUCUGGCAAACUUGAGUGCUGAGAAGCAGUGAUAAAGUGGUAUUGUCCUAAUGGUAGGGCUGUCGUUACCAGAUAGAAAAGGGAAGAAAGGCAAAUGUACUUCCAUUUUUUUCAGUACAGUUAGUCUAGACCUAACUAUCUCCAGUGUGGGGUGCAAGUUUUUAUCUAUUGGUAACCAUGGGUCUUCCCAAAACAACUUCACCGUUAUCCAGAGCUGAAUGCAUGCCUGUGCUGGAGCUACCCUUGUUAUUAGUGUUCUAGAUCUUUUCUAUGUCCACCGAAGAGUGUACAGACCAGUAGUUUUUGUGAUCCAUGUUUCUACAUAGUGCCUAGGUCUCUAUCCUUAAAAUAGUCUUAUUUUUGCACAUCAUCUUCUGUCACUGCAAACCACAUUUCAAGAUGAUUCAGAUAUCUUCUUGUUGGCUAAAAUUGCCACACGUUUCAGGGGAAGACUGUCAAGUUGUACAUGUGUUUUUUCAGUCCAUCAUUACACACAUUUACACCCAAACACUGAUUUUCCAGGUUGCCACUUUCAGUUUCAUCUCUGGUCUUUCAUGGAGAAGGUGUUUUUUUGAUUGUUUUGUUUUUCCCUUAAGUGAAUCUGUUAUGAAAAGAAAGUGAAUGACAGCAAUAGAUGCCUGCAGUAGACAGAGGGAAUGAGGACCAGCUGUAGCUACUUGGCUUGCAGCCGUUCUCCCAGUGCCCACACCAACAAGAGAAGAUGUUGACAGCUCAGUAAAUCUUAUUUCAUUAUGAAGCAUUGGCUCUACACAAAUUAGCUUACUAAAAUAUACAUACAUAUUUUCUCUUCUAGCAAAAAGGACAAGAAAGAGCAAAGAACUUUUCUAAGUUAAGCACUCACAAAAAAGCUUUCAUUUAUCUCUUUCACUAGUACGAGUGUAAGAGCUGUUGAGUAGAGUUUUAAUGGAAAGCAUAGUUUUCUUUUCCUAAGCAACAGCUAGUAGAUCAAGCCUGCUCAAAAUAAACUUAAUUUACAUAUUUAUUUCCUCUGAUUUAACCUCCCUGAGAGCAGGAGUGGUGGCAUCUGUAUAGUCCUAAUAAAUCACUUAGACUAACUCAAUCAGGUCUGGUUUCACAUGAGAAGGUUCCCGUAACUGGUUAAUUUAUUUAUUAGAUAUUAAAGUAAUAUGGAUACUUGUAAUCAGUCUGAGCCAUCUCGCUGCAAUUAAUAAAAUAGGAAAUCAGAACAAGUUUCAGCAGUUGGCUGAAUUACAAAUGCUGAACUACAAAUUACAAAAAGAGAACUGCAGUGGUUAUCAGGUCAUCGAUUUGUUUGUAUCAAUGACAUUGGUUUGCAAUGGCCAGAGGGAAAAUGCAUGAUAUCCUGCCACAAGCAGAGAAGAAAUAUGCUCUGCGGGGAAGCGUAGGCCUGAGAUGUGAAGCCUGAUCCUUUUCAGCAAUUCCAUAACAUCCAGAAUGAUUGUUUGUAAUCAAAGCCUUCAGGUGUUUCUGUUGUUUCCUAGAAACAUCUGUUAUUUUCACUUCUUGCUAAGAUCUUGGCAUCUGUGGUGCAUGUGGUAGUGGGCUUCCCUGUCCAGUUACUCAUUACAUGUCCUUUGAUCUCCGUAUCAAAUCUGAUUUUUGUUUUGUUUUGUUUUCCCCAUUGUUUUCUGAGGAAAAGCAAAUACGUGCAUUGCUGGUCCAGGGAUCGUUUAUGGCACUAGCUCCACCACUGGCUUUAGGCUCCCGUGUGAUUUGCUUACUUGCAGAGAUGCGAGCGGUGCCUGUAGACCACGCACAGGUUCCUCAGCUCUUCCCCUUUUCAAGCAAGCUCAGGACCUACUGAGCUGUCUCCAGAAUCAGCUUUCUUUGACAUUCAGGUUCUUACAGAAGGCAGCAGAGAAAGCCAUGCUUGCUUAUCUUACAGGAAAACUCUUUUGGAUUUCACCUUAUCUAGAGAGUUUACACUGUGCCAGGAGCAGUCAAACAUUUCAUAUAGAUAAUCCUCAUGGAGUUUCCCUGGGUCAUCAUCUUCAGCAGGAGACUAAAAAGAACAAAGAACAGCUGAUGUGUUCUGUAGAUGGAGAUCAGCACCAGAAACCCGAGAGACACUGGACCUGCAUAUUUGCCUCUCAAAGGUCAGAACCGGGGACGUUGACUCAGAGGUAGGCUCCGUGCACUCACAUUUCCACGUGUGCAAUCCAAGCAUUCUGGUCCACUGACAUCUGCACUGAAAGGUCUUGCUGUGGCUGCUGGAUAGAGAACAUGGAACUCAUCACUUGUGCGCAGUUGGCUGAAGAGCAAAGAGCAACUCCAUGAUUCUCCAGAGCUUUUCCACCACGGCAGGAGAAAAUGGAAAUAAGCCACAGGCAUUCAGCACUCCAGAUGGACAGAGCCAGCAGCGGUGAGAAUCAAUCGUGCUGAUAGUACCUCACUUUUGCUAAAGCCAGAAAACGGCAAACUUGGAAAUAGCAUACUUGUACUCCUUGAACAUUCUCUUUACUAAACCAUAUUCAAGUUUUCACUGAGUUCAAAACCUACGGAGCUUAGCAGUCAUUGCGUUGAGACCCAAAUGAAUACAAAAUAUUAAGAAAAAUCCAAAUGCAGGCUAACAAUGGUAUAUAUAUACCUGGUAUGCUAACAAUCAGUGUACAGGCCUAAAACGAAUGCAAAAAUUCAGACUGAUACUAGCGUCAGAUGUUUCAGGUUAUCUGUUCCAUUCCUUCAACAAAAGAGCAUGGUUUUUUUAAUAUCAUUACUUUCAAAGCUUAUUCUAUGUAACCUGCUUUAAAAAAAAAGAAAAAGAAAAAGAAAAAGAAAAGAAAACAGCUCUCCCAGUGUCCAACAGCAUAUUGCAACAGCAUUUUGUUUCCCAUCCUUUUUUUUCUUUUUCUUUUUUUUUUAAUGUAUCUUUUUCACCUCUUCAGCACUCACUGGUUGUUUUUAUGGGUUUUUGAAAGAGAAAAUUGAAUCCAGGAAGUCCAGCACCAGCACAACUUAAAACUGUUGACUUUUACAAAAAUGUGUUAAAAAACCCCACCCCCUCAGCGCAGAAAUUUAGCUGACCGCAACACUUUCCCCCAGUGUAAAGAAAACAGCAUAUUCAUACGCAACACAAAGCCAGUUCUAGCUGCAUAUUUAUUAAAAAUAUAACUAUGUUAAAUUGAGACUUACUAGAAAAAUAACAACAUAGUAUGCCAGAGUUCAGAUAAUAGUGGUGCUUCACUGCCAGCUCUAAGGAUACAAAACCCUUAAGCCAAAGCAAAUGUACGAAGUACAGGUUUUCUCAGAACUGCUUAUUCGGGGACAAAUUCUGAGAAUGAAAAACUGAAAGGAAUUUUGGUGCAAUUCUGGGUACAUUUUUCUAAAGCAGCUUUUAUGAGCUGGGGAAGUCUUACCCUAGUACCUAUGGUAUUUCAAGAUAGGCUGGUUUGAUAGUGACCUUCCAGCCCCAGGUGCAGGGUACAGUCUGCCACAGAGAGUUCCAACUAAAUGAGUUUGGGACCUUUGUGGUCAAAGACAUAUGCCAUAAAAUAAAGGAAAAUAAUAAUAUUGUUCCUUGGAAUGUUUCAAUAGAUACAUUUUUCAUAUAAAAUUUGCAGAUGAUGGCGCAUUGUACAGAGUUAUGCACACAGUUGCCAGCUGCUCUCCUGUUGUUCUGUGCAGCUAACUUUAGGUUUCAUUUAUGUGGCAACUCCUAUCAUUUUCUGUCCAGUUUUGGAGAUGGGAGGACAGGGAAAAUAGGACAAAGCAGUAUUUAAUUCAUAACGCUAUCUGGUAAACAUUGAAGAAACAGUGUUAACUCCCAUUUAACAGAAACUCUGGUCAGCUGGGAGGAAACACGGCGAUGCCUAAAGAACCUUUUGGGGAGGGAUGUGAAACCAUCCGCACAUGGCUUCUGAAGAUAAAGAAUACCCUACUGUUAUUUUUUAUCUCCUCUCAAUGAGGAAAGAAGAAAAAUCACUUCUCACUUCCUGAAACACUUCUGAAAAUGAAGACCUAGAACAACGUACUCUCAGUAUGCCUCUUACUAAGACUUUGACAUUAAAUGUGUUUGACAUGCUGCUGCUCCAUUUGCAAAGUUGACGCCACUCAGUUGACCAAAGGCUUGCUUAAGUCAGCACAGCCCACACAAGGACAUUGACUUUCAGUUGAUGGUGAAACUACAGGCAGGCCUUGCCCAGCAGAGAAUAGUGUUUGUUUGGCAAAUAUCCUUUCCCAGAGUCCAUCUUUAAUUAAAAAAAAAUUGUAUAGCACUAUUGGCAGGAGCUUUGCAUUUGAUUAGAGUCUGCAACAGAUCGCUUCCCACUGAAUUCUGUAGCAGGAAUUGUUCUUGGAAAUUGAUGCAGACAAGUUAACAGCAAACAUACAUACUUAGUUGAAAUCUAUAGAGAAAACAGUAAAAAAAAAAGUAACUUAUGUGCUUGGUAAAGGAUUUUGUUCUGUUGUUGAUGCUUUUUAUUUUUCUGAGGUCAAGAUACUUAACUAUUAAAGCAUAAGUUGGGGCUUUGUUACAAAGUGAAUAAUGAGCUAAUUGUGUUUCAAAGCUGAUAAGCUCCACGCAGAGCCCUCUGUUUCCAGCCUACAGAAACGCCACUAAGACUUCUUGUAUGUCUAGAGCUAAGCAAACAUCCAGUCUUAAUUAAUUUGGACUCAGAUUGGUAGCAGAAAAUUAACUAAUUUGGAAAAUUGGAAAUACGAGGUGACUAUCAUUGGCAAUUCAUUGUUAUUUGGCCCCUUGCAGUAAGCAACAAUAAAGCUUGCAGUAGGAAGAGAUCCAUUUAUUUGUAAUCCAAAGUGAUUCCUAAGAAUGUCUUUGUUAAUGCAAGAAUCAAUGGCAAUUAAUUGUGAACACAUCAAAAUAAUAAUCCCAGAACAUUCUUUCACCUGGAAAGAAACGUUAACAUUUCCUUCAUCCCUCAAACUUAUCAGGCAAGAAUUAUUUUUAGGAGUAGUUCACAGUGGAAAACUCUAAACUGGAGAUUUUAGGCAUAUAGAGAGGCUGAGUAAUUCGUGGCUUUGUUGUUGGCCGGCUCUAAAUAAGACAAUGCUGGGUCUCUUGAUUUCAGACCUGCAUCAUUUUUAUAAGAUCCAAGGUUUCCGUAACUACACAUCGGUCCUUCUUGGUCCUACAAAUUGUGGCCACACUUAGCCCUUGUCUAUAUCAGGUCUGGUCUAUUUACAGGUCCAGGGAGCUUCCUUGAGCAGAGAAUACCUACAUCUGCACAUUGCUUAACCGUUAGCUCCCUGGCUAACCCACUUUUAAACCACUCCAACAGUCUGCUGACUGGAAAAAAUUUGCUGUCCUGGGAGCUAAUCUAGUCUAAGUAGUGUGGGCAUGAGUGGCUUACUCCAAUCAGAAAUCAGUCCUGGGCCUUUUUUCCUUGCCAGAACUGUGGACACAGCUAUGCCACCUUUAAACUGUGGCAAACUUAUAUGGCACUUCUGUCUAGAAUCUCUAUCCCAACUGCUCAUACUAUGAAGAAGGGAUGCAUACAAGCAGACAUUUACAGUUCUCCACUUUCACCCAGAAGUUUCCCCUUGCUGUCUCUAAAAAUGCCAGAGACAAAAUAUUGCUGUAUUACACCGUCUUUCUUUCUAGCUAUGGACAAGUCCCUUUUUCAUCCAGGAAGCAAGUGGGCUGGUUUCUACUCUGGCUUGGAAGCCCCUUCUCCAAGCCUUCUUCCUGCUGUUCAGCCAGACCUCUGCUGGACUGUUCUCUGCGCGGUGUGGGGUUGGAGUGGGGACAGUUUCCCCUGAACUUGUACCAAGGUCAACCAAAAUCCUUACUAGGUCACCUCUAAGACCAAAGUCUCACUGUGCUGCAUUAAAAAUAUUGCUGUCAAAAGAGUCAAGGACCGGGGUCCCUAAGCAUAAAAAGGAAGCAAGACUUCAGAGAGAUUUGCUCAUGAAGGGCAACUGAAGUAGAUGAAAAAUGAGGCUGGGAGAAACCAUGCAGCAAAACUGGGCCUCAAAUUAAAGGCAGUAUUGUACAAGUCUGCUGUGGGCUGCAUGCACUGCUGUCAUAAGGAAUAAAAAGUUGGAAUCGCUGUACACAUUUAAGUGAAUUCUGGAAAAGUUAAAACCUGAAGUAACGGCAUUUGAAAACUUCUCUAAUUAAUCAUCUCAACCAUCUGAAAAACAGUAGUGACUCCUCCA